UACGUAGGGUGCAAGCGUUAAUCGGAAUUACUGGGCGUAAAGCGUGCGCAGGCGGUUAUAUAAGACAGUUGUGAAAUCCCCGGGCUCAACCUGGGAACUGCAUCUGUGACUGUAUAGCUAGAGUACGGUAGAGGGGGAUGGAAUUCCGCGUGUAGCAGUGAAAUGCGUAGAUAUGCGGAGGAACACCGAUGGCGAAGGCAAUCCCCUGGACUCGUGUACUGACGCUCAUGCACGAAAGCGUGGGGAGCAAACGAGG
rnacentral:rRNA from 1 species